rnacentral:rRNA from 1 species
AGAUUGAACGCUGGCGGCAGGCCUAACACAUGCAAGUCGAGCGGCAGCACGGGUACUUGUACCUGGUGGCGAGCGGCGGACGGGUGAGUAAUGCCUAGGAAUCUGCCUGAUAGUGGGGGAUAACGCUCGGAAACGGACGCUAAUACCGCAUACGUCCUACGGGAGAAAGCAGGGGACCUUCGGGCCUUGCGCUAUCAGAUGAGCCUAGGUCGGAUUAGCUAGUUGGUGGGGUAAUGGCUCACCAAGGCGACGAUCCGUAACUGGUCUGAGAGGAUGAUCAGUCACACUGGAACUGAGACACGGUCCAGACUCCGUACGGGAGGCAGCGAGUAGGGGAAGUAAUUGGACGAAUGGGCGGAAAGACCGUGAUCCAGCCGAUGCCGCGUGUGUAGAAGAAGGUCUUCGGAUUGUAAAGUCACUUUUAAGUUGGGAGGUAAGGACGAGUU